UAAUACGGAGGGGGCAAGCGUUGUUCGGAAUUAUUGGGCGUAAAGCGCGUGUAGGCGGUAAAGUAAGUCAAACGUGAAAGUCAACGGCUCAACCGGGGGAAUUGCGUUUGAUACUGCUUUACUAGAGUACGGGAGAGGAGAGUGGAAUUCCUAGUGUAGCAGUGAAAUGCGUAGAUAUUAGGAAGAACACCGGUGGCGAAGGCGGCUCUCUGGACCGUUACUGACGCUGAGACGCGAAAGCCAGGGGAGCGAACGGGAUUAGAUACCCCGGUAGUCCUGGCCGUAAACGAUGGGUACUAGGUGAAGGAGGUAUCGAUCCCUUCUGUGCCGUAGCUAACGCAUUAAGUACCCCGCCUGGGGAGUACGGUCGCAAGGCUG
rnacentral:rRNA from 1 species